CAGUAGCCGCGGGAAUACGUAGGUGGCAAGCGUUGUCCGGAAUUAUUGGGCGUAAAGCGCGCGCAGGCGGAUGGGUCAGUCUGUCUUAAAAGUUCGGGGCUUAACCCCGUGAUGGGAUGGAAACUGCCAAUCUAGAGUAUCGGAGAGGAAAGUGGAAUUCCUAGUGUAGCGGUGAAAUGCGUAGAUAUUAGGAAGAACACCAGUGGCGAAGGCGACUUUCUGGACGAAAACUGACGCUGAGGCGCGAAAGCCAGGGGAGCGAACGGGAUUAGAUACCCCUGUAGUCCCUGUCUCUUAUACC
rnacentral:rRNA from 1 species